rnacentral:rRNA from 1 species
GAUGAACGCUGGCGGCGUGCCUAAUACAUGCAAGUCGAGCGAAUGGAUUAAGAGCUUGCUCUUAUGAAGUUAGCGGCGGACGGGUGAGUAACACGUGGGUAACCUACCCAUAAGACUGGGAUAACUCCGGGAAACCGGGGCUAAUACCGGAUAAUAUUUUGAACUGCAUGGUUCAAAAUUGAAAGGCGGCUUCGGCUGUUACUUAUGGAUGGACCCGCGUCGGAUUAGCUAGUUGGUGAGGUAACGGCUCACCAAGGCAACGAUGCGUAGCCGACCUGAGAGGGUGAUCGGCCACACUGGGACUGAGACACGGCCCAGACUCCUACGGGAGGCAGCAGUAGGGAAUCUUCCGCAAUGGACGAAAGUCUGACGGAGCAACGCCGCGUGAGUGAUGAAGGCUUUCGGGUCGUAAAACUCUGUUGUUAGGGAAGAACAAGUGCUAGUUGAAUAAGCUGGCACCUUGACGGUACCUAACCAGAAAGCCACGGCUAACUACGUGCCAGCCGCCGCGGUAA